rnacentral:rRNA from 1 species
ACCAGACUCCUACGGGAGGCAGCAGUGGGGAAUAUUGCACAAUGGGGGAAACCCUGAUGCAGCGACGCCGCGUGAGCGAUGAAGUAUUUCGGUAUGUAAAGCUCUAUCAGCAGGGAAGAAAAUGACGGUACCUGACUAAGAAGCCCCGGCUAACUACGUGCCAGCAGCCGCGGUAAUACGUAGGGGGCAAGCGUUAUCCGGAAUUACUGGGUGUAAAGGGAGCGUAGACGGUGAUGCAAGUCUGGAGUGAAAGCCCGCGGCCCAACUGCGGGACUGCUUUGGAAACUGCCCGGCUAGAGUGCUGGAGAGGUAAGCGGAAUUCCUAGUGUAGCGGUGAAAUGCGUAGAUAUUAGGAGGAACACCAGUGGCGAAGGCGGCUUACUGGACUGUAACUGACGUUGAGGCUCGAAAGCGUGGUGAGCAAACAGGAUUAGAUACCCUGGUAA